AACGAACGCUGGCGGCAUGCCUAACACAUGCAAGUCGAACGAGACCUUCGGGUCUAGUGGCGCACGGGUGCGUAACGCGUGGGAACCUGCCCUUAGGUUCGGAAUAACUCCCCGAAAGGGGUGCUAAUACCGGAUAAUGUCUUCGGACCAAAGAUUUAUCGCCUUUGGAUGGGCCCGCGUUGGAUUAGCUAGUUGGUAGGGUAAAAGCCUACCAAGGCGACGAUCCAUAGCUGGUCUGAGAGGAUGAUCAGCCACACUGGGACUGAGACACGGCCCAGACUCCUACGGGAGGAAGAAGUGGGGAAUAUUGGACAAUGGGCGAAAGCCUGAUCCAGCAAUGCCGCGUGAGUGAUGAAGGCCUUAGGGUUGUAAAGCUCUUUCACCCGGGAUGAUAAUGACAGUACCGGGAGAAUAAGCGCCGGCUAACUCCGUG
rnacentral:rRNA from 1 species